AAAUAUUGAUCAUAUACCAAGCCCACAUCCUUCCUUUUCCCUGAGAGCACCAAGGAUUUGGGUCUUCUGCUGUUCAGAAGCAGAGUUUGAGUAACCUGUGCUAUUGUCAGGACUUGAUUAUUUUAUAUUGUGUGUUCACCCAUCCAUUGCAAAGGUGAGGUGCAGCUCCCAGACAGCACUGGUGAGCAGAUGUGUCAGAGAGAGGUUUACAAGCCUGUCUUACAGUCCUACCCAUUGCUCCCACUGUCCCCCUGCAUUGCUCACCAAAGCCUGCAGCCUGCAGGGAUGCACCAGGGCUGUGAGGCAAAGGAUCCCCAGUGCUUCCAGAGGCCACCUGCUGCUCAGCAGGGUCCUCCUUUCCUGUGUUUAUGUUACACCCCCUGGCAGCACAGCCCUGUUUCCCAUGCCACGCCUUGAUGCCUGCAAAGGAGCCAAAGCCUGCUCUGGUGUGGAUCUGUUGUGGGGACUCUUACGUUAAUGCUACUUAAAACUGGGAGCACAUUGUAAACACAUUCAUUUAUUUUCAAUAAAAAGUAUAAUUCAAAGUAAAAACAAUGAAACAAAGCAGCACGUUUCUCAGACAAGUAAGAACUGAGCAGUUACGUCUCAGUUUCAGAAAGUAUUGAAUGGGUUAUCUGUUUUCUACUUCUAGAGGAACAGAAGACAUCUUGUGGUUCAGAUUCUGGGUAGAACCUUUGUGGUUCAGCCUUUGGUCUGUGUUGGUAGUAAAACUCUCUCUUGGGCAACAGCUGGAAAUGGUGAUUCAUCUUCAUAGAGCAAAUCUAACAAUGAAACAGUGCAAUUAAAACAGUGCAGAGCACGUGGUUAGCAGUGAACCAGGACACUGAAACCAAGUCCCAGAGCGAUGCUGCAGGUCACACACGUGCCUGUGCUGUGGUGAGGGUGUCACGCAGUCACCACUGGUACUGCCUGGCCUGUGAUCAUGGGUCUAUGCAUUUAAUUGGUUUGGUGAAUAGGGAUAGCUUACAGCUCUCUUACGCUGAAUUAUUUCUAAUGAAGUUAGAGAAGAGGAUGAAAUUAAUGUUUUCUGCAAGAAAAUGUCCGCAAGUUCAUUAUACACAACCAAGGAAACUGGUUAGUGCUACAGAGCAAACUCCUCAUUCGUUCAUUCACUUAAAAAAAUAUUGUUUAAGCCUGGCUGUGAGCUCAAAAUUGAAACAUGUAAAGAUGCACCCAUCUUUAAGCCUUGCCUGGCUGCAUGUAAGUGGAUGUGGUUAGGUUCAUUGUGUGCUCCUGAAUUUUUAUUUUAUUUUUUUUUAAAGUGCUGACAUUUAAGACAUACAAAGAAAAAUGGCCUCAGGGGAACCACCUCCAAUGCAUCACAGAAGCUUUGUUCAAACAGUUUUCUAUUACUCACUCUGACCACACAUUGGCUGAAGUGGUUUAGAUAAUCUGCUCUCCAGGAAGGGAUUGGUGGUGAGGAUCACCAGACAGCAUUGCUCCAGCCCACGUCAUUUCUGGAUGGCCUCCAGAGGCAGGAAGCAAACUCAACAACUGCUGAGCAGCGUGUUCCUGCGGGAGGCACUGGCCCAGCAGCUGCCCCGCUGGAAACUUUCCCUUCCAGGACACGAGGAAAGUUCUGUGCUGCAGCGUUCUUGGGAGCAUGGAGAAAACUCCUCCUGCUGCUCUCUCGUUCCAGCAGGCUGUGAUUUUUGAUGGCUGGAUACAGUUAGACUGAGAGCAGCCACUCAAGGUCUGUCAUGUACUCAGGGCAGGCUUAUGUACAACAUGAGCACUUUUAAAAUGCUGCAGCCUGGCUUUGCUUCUUUGCUGGUUCUGAGGUCAGCUCACUGUUCAUUAUCUGAAUGCAAAAAGCAAUAGCCAGGUAAUGUGCUGGGAGGAGCAUACUUGUGCCUUCUCAUUUUUAAAUUCCUUUAAUAUUUUGCUUCUUAGUCAAUUUUGCUAAAUAUUUUCCAUCCAUGCUUCCAUAUUUUGCCUAAAUUAUUUUGUAAAAUUUAAUAUUUGUUGAUGUUAUACUUGACUGAUUAAAUACUCAUUACUGAUUUCACAAUUAAUUUUAGUAUAUAUGCCACAUUAUUUCAAAGUACUAUGAUAACUUGCAAUAUUUAGACUGAAAGCAUAAUCCAGAUCUGGAAUCUAAAAUUAAUUUUAACCUGACCAGUUUUUCUAUCAUGUCAUAGACACAUUCUGAGGAGUAAGCUACUAAAACAAAAAGUACUGUAGGUUCUUCUGGUAGAAAGUAAAAAUAUAGGCAAAAAAGAAAGUGAGAGUCAAAUUCCCUCCUGUAUUGAUAUAAUAAAUUGUAUUUUCACACCCCAGGGAUAAAAAAAUCCCCAGCACAAUGAAGCUGUUUCUAAAAGCAUUCCCAGUGAGCUCAGCGGAAACACUCAGAAUCCCGAUGAUUUGUUUAUUGGAGUGGGUGGUUAUUUUUUCAUGAUUUCAUUUAAUAUGUACAUGUUUUUCUAGCAUCUUUCUGAUCCCUGUGCUCCCAGCCUUGGAACAGCAAGGCCUGCAGGAAGGGUGGUGCUGGGGACAGCCCUGAGCACAGGACAGGUGCUGGAGCUGGAAGAGCUAAUCCUUGUUCAGACACGGUACCCGUGCUGGACCAGGCAAACACAGCACUUGCUGCCUGCUCUGGCUGAUUCCCAGAGCUCGUGGCCAUCAACAUCCUGGCCUAUUGGUACUGCAGGAGACUGAAGCCAAGGUAACUAUUUAUGCUAAUAUUGGUGAAAGCAGAUGUAAACACAUCAGUGAGGGCCGGCACCACAAUUAAAUGUUUUCCUCCUUUUCCUAGAGAUUUGUGUACUUUUACACCAAAUCUGAAAUACAUUUACCACAACGUCUUUUGGCAUAAACUGAGUGUUUCUUGAGGUAUGUUGAUGGCAAUGUACCACCACCUUCUUCUUCACUGAUUUGUGCACACACUGUUUUCUGUUCACCAGUCUGAGGAUGUGCCCUGAGAGUCUGAGCAGAGUCCCAGGCUGUGCUUGAGCUCCUCAGAAUGUUUGCAUCCCCAAAUGAGCACCUGCUCUGAGCCCAGUGAUGAUGAAAUGCAGAGGAGCUGUGAUGCCUUCUUGGGUUUGUGACCUAACCCUUGCCAAAUAUCUCACCAGGGUUUUCAGCCUUCUGCCUCCAGCACCUCCAGGGUUCCACUAUCCAAAUUCUGGAUGGACCUCACAUUGUUAACCAAAAUUAAGCCCAGAAUCAAGCAAAAUAGCUUAACCAUAGACUUUUAUGUGCAAGGGAUAUAAACAGAAGGAAAUAUGCCAUUUCAACAGGGGAUCAUUUUUAGAUCAGCACUCUUCACACUGUUUACUCUCUCAUGUAGUUUUUGAUUCUUUCCUUUUUCAGGGUACUGAUUUUAGAAACAAAUGAUUGUAGGACGGUCCUGGUAUGUUGUUUUGGGGUUGGGUUUUGGUUGGAUUUUUUUGAUCUGGAAAAGAUUUUGCUGUUUCACAAAUCAGAAAAAUAUUUUUCAUUCCAAAAUGGGCUCAAGACCUCAUUAAAAUAGCAGGCUUUUUUGCUUCCAAGAUAGCAAAUCAUUACUAUGUUGAUUUUCCUCUCAUUUUAUGGAGCUAGCCUGCUUAGCUAGGAAAAAAAUUUGUCAGAAAGAAGGAUGUCUCUGUGAGUAGCAUUCAUUGCUGGAGAACUCAGUGCAAGAACAGCCUUUGAAAGAUUGAUAUUUUUUAAAUACAAAACCUGAACUUGUAGCAUUCUGUCUAAUUGCUAUUGGAGGAGAAGGGAACAGGAACUGUAGUAGCUGCCUUGACUAUAAUCACUUCCCAGUGGAAGAACAGAACUGUGGUAGAAUUUAAGAACAAAGCCAAUGGCUGUCCUGUUGAAGCAAUCCUAGCAAUGCUUCUUUCUCUAAUUAUUAUGGGCUGGAGAAAGAAAUGGUGCUCCAGGAUGCUUGCUGAUGGAUACCUGUUAACUGGGCACUCAUCCAAACUCACUCUGCCCUCACUUGCCUUCUGCUUCCUCUGGUUCCUCUGAUGUAUAGUCAGGAGCAGGAGAAUAACCAGGACUUCUGCCAUGUAACUUCACCCAGAGCUUAACCAGCACUGUUUUUGCUCAGUGAACCUGUUGCAUUUUCCUUUUAUUUUGACAAUGCUGACCAGCCUGAAUUCCUCCUCACCAGCACAAGCUGUUUGCUUCCACUCUAGCAUUUUGUAAUUCUGAUGUAACUCCAUUGCUGUGGAGUUUGUGAGAAGUGUCUGCUAUGUAUGUGCUAACCAGUAACUCAGCAGAAACAGCGUCAAGAGACUUCAUUCUUCUCUGAUGCGUUUGAUCCACAAAUACUAUACAAACAAAUUAUUCUUUACACAAAUACAAGUACUCAAGUUUCCCCAGGUAGUUUAUUAUUUAAUGAUGUAACAGUAUGGGGAUAUAGCUACUAGUUUUUCCAUUAUAAUCCAGUUGUCAGCUGGACUCCAUGACAAAAUUCCUGCUUGUGUGUCAACAUCUCACAACACACUUGUGCUCCCUCCUGCCAGAAAUUAUUUUAUAAAGGGGCAUUUAAAAACAAUAGAAAACACCAAUGGAAAAUGUGAUGCAAAUGUUCAUACAUCCAUGAGAAACUUAGAUGGAUAGCUAAUUCAGGCAUAAAGUGCUAUAGCUGGCCAGACCAUAUACAAGCAAAGUACACAAAAAAACCUACAUCUUUUGUGCUUUGUAGACAGGGGAGGGAAAGUAAAAGAAAAUGUAUUUAUGUGCUGUGAGCUUACACGUAUUUAGCUGGUUAUUUGAACUUUCCUAAGAGUCCCUAUAAAUAAACUGAAAACAUCUUAAACUACUUAUGACAAAUAGAAUUGCAGGAAAAAUCUAUUGUUUCCAAAUGUGCAUUUAAAAAAUGAGUGAACGUGAGGCUGCUCUGCAAGAGAAAGAAUCUUAAUGGAAAAACUUAUAGAACUCUGAGUGGAGCUGUAUGAAAGUAGCAGAUGAGUCUUGCUGCUUAACAAAAUUUUAUCUGUCAGUACAAAGGUUAACUUCAGGUUAACUUCAGAAUAUAUGUUUCAAAAUUCAAUUCAUAUACUUCCAACACACUACUUAUUUUAGUGAAAACUUAGUGCAAUACAGACACAGAUUAAUACAGGUCUGACUUCUGUGCCAUUUCUGCUUUGUAUAAUAGGAGGACAAGGGCAAAAUAAAUGUUUGAAAAGUUCACUGUGACCCACUUUGAAAUAUCAGACUGUUUCUGACUAGAACCAGACCAGCAUUCAGACUAAAGAUAUGGAAAUGUAUUUAUCAAAAGGCAAGGAGAACUUGGAACUUAGGUGUUAAGUUCCAUUCAUCAUAGACUAAUGACAUUCUGUAUGUAAAUACUUUUAAAUUUUAGUUGAUAGGGCUCUUCCCUGGCUGCUGCAAAAUAAAUGUGCAAAAGCUUAGUUAUCUUCUUCCUCUAAAACAGAUAAUUGUGUUGUUUGUGGGCCUCUUUAUUUGCACACUUUCCAAAGUUUGUUCACUGUUCUAAAAAAAAUUAAUGUACAAUUUCUACAUCAGGAAAUGGCUAGGGAGUAUUAUCAAUGAAUGUAAAAUAGAAAAAAAAACCUUCUAAGAUAUCUUUGUCCACUUUAAACAUGUAAGUUGCAAAUGCACAUAAGCAGUGUGUGAUUCUGGGCAGAUGCUGCGAGGUUCCUGUAAAACCCUGACAUCUGUCUGUGAGCAGGCUCCUCUCAGGCUGGCUGUGAGCCACAGGCAGUUCCAGGGAAGGGAGUACAGGUGUGCUUUGUGAGGAGGUGCUUUUCCAGGAUGGCAGUGCUACAGAACAUUCCUAUGCCCUUUGGGUAUUAUAAGAUAAUAUGCAAUGGCCAACUUUUAGUGAAUCAUACCUCACUUGUCUUUGGCGUUUGUUCUUUGCAUCUGCUAUUUCAGCAACACAAUUAUUAAAGCUCAAGUUAAUACAGAUUAAAUGAUUCCACCUCUCCCCAGCUGUGCUCUCCAGUCCAAGUCUGCAUCCUUUCAGAGUGUGACAGAGUUGACUCUGCAUGUUGAGAGCACCUGAUAUUGUCUGCACUGAAUUCAGCCCGUGAUGCAGGAGCUGAAGCACUCAGCAGGGAUUUCAAACAACUUGCAGCCUGAGCCCCUGGCUUCAAAACGGCUGGUGUGGUGUAAGCUACUGUCUUGGGACUUAAAUUCACCCUUUCUUUAAUGCCCUGCUUUGCCUGCUAGAUCACCCCUUUCUUCACCCAAGUGUUUAAUGCAUUCUAUGGAAAGUACAUGUAUUUUACUCACCAAACUGAAAGGCUGAGACAAGUAUCUGCAUUUAGUCUUCUUUCUCCACACAAAACUUUAUAAGAAUUUGGUCUGCACAUUAAACUUUUGCAGGGAUAAGUCACUUUUUUUUUUUUUUUUUUAUUUCACAUUUACUCUAGAUUUUACUUGAACACUAAAAGUAAGUAUUAAAGGAUGCAAAAAGAAAAGGUUAACUUUGGUUUUGUCAGUGGUGUUUUCUCAGUAGCCUUUUUUUCAGGGGUUUUUUUUUUUUUCGGUAGGGUAUUCCUGUCUCCAAACUGAAGUACUGACCUUCCUAAGUGAUUUGGAAUUCCUUAGUGCUGCACACUUAUUUAGGCAACUGCUCUGAAAAACUUCAGGUAACCAGCCUGGUACAAUGGUAAAGUGUAUAAAUCAGUGUACUGAAUCUGAGCUGGCACUGCUCACAGCUACUGACCCAGACAAUCUCGAUCUAUUUUCUGCAGGAUAUUUGGGGUUGGGCUUCUCUCCUCUUCUCUGUGAUCUGAUGGAUUAUAUUUAUUUUUUAAUCAGAAAAUUAAAUUUCUAAGUAGGUUUCCAUCUCGGCUAUCUGAAAUACUUAGUGCUUAAUCUGUUCUUUAACAUUGCUUUUUCAGACUGUAAUUUAUUGAUCUGGGUCUGUUGAAGCAGAAAGCACUUGCUCUGCUCCUGAGUGCUGCAGACAGAGUCGUUAUCAUUUGAGAUUGUGAAGUACGUUCACCACUGGAGUGCUGCUGCGUUAGUGAUAAGGGAGCUGACAGGGCGUUAGCACAGAGACACUGCCCUCUAUUGCAAACUGCUCUGCUGCUGCUACCGCUCGUGCAUUGACGACACCAAUGCGAAUCAACAGUUUAACACCGCAUACAAAUGGGGCAUUUUAGUUCAGUAACUUUGUGUCAGUCUGUAACAUUAAGGCUGUGUCAAAUGCACAAAGGUCUCAACAACAAGCCCUUUUACAGACAGUACAUGAAGUCUGUGGCAGACACUGGUGUGCUGUUUGCUGCAUUGCCCUUACCCGCACCUCAGCUGGAUUUUGAUUUGAUUUGGUUUGUAACCUGAAGGCACAGAAGAGUGUAAAUCAAAACCAGAGGGGACACUGUGCAGUGGAGCUGGAGACUGAGGAGCCAGCACAGCACAGCUGUGUCAUAUUUAUAUUUUCUGAACAAUCUCUUCGCUUAAGAUUUUCUCUUGGGAAGCUGAGAAGCCUCAAAGAAAAAGAAAAACAGUUUUAUCUCAUUUACUUCUCCUGUGUUUUGCUGCUUAGGAAUGUGUUUGGAGAUUGUUUAUCCAACAGGUGAUUGUUUCAUUAAUUUCAUGCAAAUUGUUUUGACUCAAUGGCCAACCAGUGCCAAGCUGUAUCGGGACUCUGAAGAGAGUCACAAGUUUUUCAUUACUACCGUUUUAGUCUGUAAGUAUCCUUUCUGUAUUCUUUAGUACAGUUUAGUAUUCUUUAAUAUAAUAGUAUGUAUAAUAUUAUUUAUAAUACUAUUAAAUUAUUAUUAUAAAAUCAUAAAUUAACCUUCUGAAAA